UUCACGGUCGAGAAGCAGAUCAACGAAGUCACCUACAGGCUACACCUACCCCCCAGGUACCACAUUCACCCCUCUUUCCAUGUGUCCCUACUAAAACCCUUCUCUCCUGGCACUCCAGAUGCCCCAGAACCACAGGAACCCCCUCCUCUGGAGAUCCUCGAUCAACCAUCUGUGUACCAAGUUAAGGACAUCCUGGACUCAUGACAACGGGGUGCCUGGCUCGAGUACCUGGUGGAAUGGGAGGGGCAUGGACCAGAGGAGCAUUCCUGGGUGGCCCGGGACGAUAUCCUAGAUCCUAUGCUUCUGGAGGAAUUCCAUCGACUACAUCCAAAUUGACCCACACCCAGAGCCCAGGUCGCCCUCAUCGUCGCAUCAGGGCAUCAGGAGCCACCCCUGGAGGAGGAGAUCUCCAUUGCCAUCCUCCAGCGAAUCUCCAUUGCUGUCUCCCCCUGUCUUACUCACCAGAGCAGGGCUUCAUCCAUUCAGUGACUUUCCAUAUCGUUGUCAUACUGCAUCCUGUUUAUAAACCAUCUGCUUCACUAACCCUCCGUCUCUAUCCUGGUUUGUGACAAGAUCUGUGCAUUUUAUGUUAUUCUACCGUCAAGCAAUUUAACACCCAAAUACAACCUGAAGUUGAACCAUUCAUAAUGUAAGACCACAAUAUUCAGUGUAAUAAGCGUCUAUGGCAUUUGAAUAAAUAAACUGUUAUGCCACUAAUCUGAAUGUUUGGCAAGGAUAUUUGGAAUAAAAUAACCUUUUUUUGUUGUUGUUUGUUUUGUUUUGUUUCAGAGCCUACAAUUGACAAAUUCAUUAAAGUUACAGCAGUAAAAGUAAGAGUUUUAUAUGUUCUUAAGAAAUGUCAGCAGUGCUUGCUUGUGCAAAACUCACCACCAUAAGUAGUUACCCGCAGGUUGCUAAAGGUGUUAGCAUGUUGCUAUGCUGGUUGUUAGCAUGCAUAAAUGUGGUUUAUGGUGUGUUCUGGGGGAUUUCUUAAGGCAGGAAUACACUACAUGACUUUUGCCCGUUUUUUCCCCCAAUGUGCAAUUUAAAUGAGUCAGGAAUAGUUGCCAAACGUCAGAGCCAGUUACAGAAUUGGGCGGCCUGAGUUGAGAGAUUUCACAGAAAUUCACUUUGUUUAUGAUGGGCACAGACUCAUAUUUGAUUAUGAUUCCAUCCAGUCAGAGGAUAUAAAUCAUGUUUGAUAUUUUGAGCCGGUUUUAGAACAAAUAUUGUUUUCAUUUGUCAUGCAAAUGUUUCAGUUUUUCUCUAUAAUCAUUUACAGAGUUGGCAAGCCUUUACUUGUGGGCGUCAAAAAGAGCUCACCAUCAAGUCUCAAUUAUAUUCUGAGCACUAAACACUGUAUAUCUUGGCUUCUUUAUUUAGUGUAAGGAAUGGAACUUUUUUCCCUAUUAUAUUGUUCAUCAGGCAACAAAAAUUCUAGCCAUAACCCUUCCAAUAAAGCAUUUUGAUCUUUUGAUAACUGAUCAGUUAACAGGGUCUAUCUGACUGUACUGGUUUGUUUUCAUAGAACACAAAUGAUAAUGUGUGAUAUGCAAAUAAAAAUGAUAUGUAAAUUAUGACACCUUAAUUUGAUCAUGACAUUUGAAGUCUUGAAUCCUGUGGAUGGCUUGUGGUAAUAAAGUGAACUGAGUAUUUUGUGUUUCCAAGCGGGCAAUUAUGCAUUAAUUAUGAAUUGCUGAAAACUAUAUAAAAGAAGAAAUGCUGAUUAUGUUCAUAAAAUUAACUUGCUGGUAAUUAAAACCAAUUACAGACAAAAGCCUCUCCACAAAAGUGAAUCAAGCACUCGCUCGGAAAUUAGAUGUCUAAUUCACUGGGUGGAAAAUAACACAGGGAAUGGAAAUAUUACAUGACAAUCAAAUCUGCAUAUUUAAUCAUUUUAACAAAACACUGACUGGAGAUGUGUUUAAAUAUCAAUAUAUUACAUAAUGAAGUCAUGCAGGACUAGCAUUAUUUGAUUAUAUCUAAAUAGUUUCAAGGUUAUUGAACGUAAGCAUUGACACUUUUUAUAGUAUGACAUACAUUGUAAACUAAUGCACACUGUAAACUAAACACUGUACAGGAAAUUGCAUUGCCAUAAUUAGAAUCUGGGGGUGUAAAUUGUCAUGAAAAUAAUGUCACAAUGCAAAUAAUUGUUCUGAAAUAUGAUUAAUCUUCUUUAAGGUAAGACACCCCAGGUGAAUGUGAUAAAAAUAAAAAAUAAAAAAGUAAUAUAUAUAUAUAUAUAACCCUAUUUUCCCAAUUGAUACUUACAUUAAGAAAUGCAAUCAUUUUUUAUAUAACAAGUUUUCUAAAAUACUGUUUAAAUGUCAAUAUUUAGCCAUUAUCUAAUUAAAUAUGCACCAUCUUUGUCGACACAUUUUUACAGGCAGGAUUUUAAGCAGAAAAUACUGUUAACAGCUUGAAAAUAAUAAUAAUAAUAAUAAUAAUAAUAAUUUGCAUAUAUAUAUAUAUAUAUAUAUAUAUAUAUAUAUAUAUAUAUAUAUAUAUAUAUAUAUAUAUAUAUAUAUAUAUCUCAGU
ensembl:lncRNA